UUUAGGAGGAACUUUGUCUUAUGUUAUCCAGGUGCUGUUCCAUGAGAUUGAAGGAAUAAAUCACAGCGUGGAAGGCAAUGGCAGCUUGGAGUGAUCAGUGACAGACAGUAGAGGUCAUUGAAUGCUUGGACUUCAGCUUUUUUUUUUUUUCCUGUUUAUUCUUUCUAGAAUCUCAGCCCAUAGAAAUGAGGUCUUAGGAUAGGUUUUACCACCUCCAUUAACUCAACCUAGAAACUUUCUUGAACAUACUUAGAAUGUAUUUCAUUAUUGAACUUAUAUUGCAGCAAGUUGAUACUCGUGAUUAAGAGUAACUACCUCACUUAUCUCCCUCAGUGAAAUGAGGAUAUUCUAGUAUUGAGUAUUAAAUCAGGCUUUGCUAUUCACAGUGUGGGCACGCUGCGUAGUGUUCCUCCUUCCCUUUCUCAAGCCCUGAAUUCAGUGCUGAUACAAAACUUUCUACUUACCUCAGGAUUAUGUUCUUGAUAAGACACAUUUCUAAGCAUAGUGGGUACAAAUAACUAAAUUGUCCUCAGACAUUAGCCAUUUAUUUAAAUUUUACUUUCUUGGACCAUGCAUUAUGUAUAUGAUUCUGAAGUGAAUCAAUAUGUUGAUUAGUCUUCAGUUCAUCAUAAAAAAUAAUGUUACUCAAAGCUUUUCAUAACACUUCAGCAAUAUAAAUAAAUUAAAACCCACACACCUUCUAUAAAUUA
rnacentral:lncRNA from 1 species